AUUGAACGCUGGCGGCAGGCUUAACACAUGCAAGUCGAGCGGGGGGAGGUAGCUUGCUACCGGACCUAGCGGCGGACGGGUGAGUAAUGCUUAGGAAUCUGCCUAUUAGUGGGGGACAACAUCUCGAAAGGGAUGCUAAUACCGCAUACGUCCUACGGGAGAAAGCAGGGGAUCUUCGGAGCUUGCGCUAAUAGAUGAGCCUAAGUCGGAUUAGCUAGUUGGUGGGGUAAAGGCCUACCAAGGCGACGAUCUGUAGCGGGUCUGAGAGGAUGAGCCGCCACACUGGGACUGAGACACGGGCCAGACUCCUACGGGAGGCAGCAGGUGGGAAUAUUGGACAAUGGGGGGAACCCUGAUCCAGCCAUGCCGCGUGUGUGAAGAAGGCCUUAUGGUUGUAAGGCACUUUAAGCGAGGAGGAGGCUACUUUAGUUAAUACCUAGAGAUAGUGGACGUUACUCGCAGAAUAAGCACCGGCUAACUCUGUGCCAGCCGCCGCCGUAA
rnacentral:rRNA from 1 species